rnacentral:lncRNA from 1 species
GACUCCUUGGUAACAUUUGGUAGCAGGCUCAAGGCCAAACUAGAUUCUAGCCAAGCCCUUCAGGAAAUGGGGGUGUUUCCAGGUUUGAAUCCAGAAACACAGUUAAUGUAUCUAUCACCUGGGUGUGGGUCCUCACUCUCAAAAUGACCCCCCUAGGUCUUGGACUCCAUGAGAGUUUCACAACCUGCAGCCUAAAUACUAAAGCUUCUACAAAGAGACUUUGGUCUGUGGAAGAAUGCAGAAUUCUUGUUGUUGUGCAGUAAUAUAAGCAGCUGAUCUCCUGUUCUGCCACCUUGCUAACAUCAUUUUAACAAUGCCUUUAAAAAAAAAAGACAAAAGCCAUAUAAUUCUAGCCCCACAGCAUUUGCUACUUUAAUCAGAUAUUUUGAAUAAAACUAAUUAAAUAUUUGCCAGAAAGUUUGCUUCAUAUGGAUUGAAUGCACAUAAGGAAAUGUUUAAAACAAUUGUUUUAAGGAUAUUUAGACAAUUAAUGCAUCUAUUUGACAGACCUGGAGCAGUUAGUGUGUGCUGCUAAGGUUUCUACCUCUAGAUGCAAGAAAGGGUACCCUUGUGCUUUCUGUUUGUCUAGUUGUGGCAAGAUUGAAUAGAAGAAUACAGGGAAUAAAUAUGGAAGGAGAAUUUCUGCAACUCAGGAAUAACCUUGUAAACAAUGAAGAGCCUGUUUUA